AUUUGCUAAGAUGCAGAGAAACAAAGCGCAAAAUCCAGGUUAUUCAAAGCUUUCUGUUUACAGUCCUUCUUCAAAGUCAAAUAAAAAAGUACCUUCUGAGCUAACAGCACGGCACAGUUUACCUAAAUGCUCCAGUUCCCAUACAGCACUCUACUUUGAAGCACACUGAUCAGAAAAUAUGCAGUAGGAGCUCAAAAAAAUCAAACAUAUUUCAGUUUCACUUGGUUUGUUCUAGACAUUUCUUCCAACUUAAAAGUGAAGUCAGAGUUCAGUUCAGUGGAAAAACCACUCAGAAAAUUGUAAACACCUUUUCAAAUAGGCCAUUGCCAUGCUAAGCAAUGCUAACCGCAGUAAUGCUAAUUCUGCACCAAGAACUUAAAAGGUUUUUGCCUGCAUGGAGCCUGAAAGCAAAAAGAAAGUGUUCUGGGGGCUGCUGUGAGCAUGGGCAGUAGCUCUGACUGCACUCUUCUUUCUCUCUCUACCCCGCUGCCAUUAGAGACAGGAAAUCUUCAAAGACAGCAGAAAGAGACUCGCAGAAAGCCAGUAAUUGGCAAUACCAGAUAGUGCUUGUCCCAGCUGGCAGCCAGCUGGCAUUGCCAGCUCUCCUCUGCAGCACGGCAGUACCCACCGCUAUGCAUUACGAUAAAAGCAGCCCGAAGGCUUUGCUUCAGAGCACCCUGCUCUUCAUUUCUACUGUUCACAUCACAUAAAUUGCUACAGUUUGCAGGGAAUUAACGUACCCCUUGCACUGACAGGGAAUUAUUUCUCCAUCCUUUACAGCUUC